UGCCUCUCCUUGCAGCUUGGAGAAUAAUUGAUGCAUCCUGGAAACUUAUGGAAAAUAUUCUGAUCUUGGAAAAUUGAUUUUAUAGGUACUAAUGUGAGAUCUUUUAGUAAGUGAAGCAUCACAAUCAUGGUGGUGUGAACCUUUAAAAAUGAUAGGAUUUCCUUUUUCUUGUGUCUAUAACCCAAGAUGGGGCUUAGUUGAAAACGCUUUUGCAUGUGGAUGGGAACUGGGGUGGACCAUGACUGUGUGAGACUAGGCUUCUUAGGGAACAAGUGGGAACUGGGUUUCAGAACUCUUCCCUGAAUUUGAGUUGGGGUAACUCUGUCAUUUCUAAAGAGGUCAGGAACUUGAUUUUUCUUCCAUUGCUCUACUUCCCAUGUGUUUUCUUUCUGAGGACAAGACAGAGCCCAGGUCUCUACCUCUGCCUCCCUCCCAUCUUCCCAUAUUCUUCGGAGUCUUUAUGGUCCUUACUUUUUCACUGGAGGUAAGGAGGCCUGCUGUUCACAGUAGAAUUUCCCUGUGAUCGGCCACCAUCAGUGCCCACACGCCUGCAGGGUCCCAAGGAAGAGCCCAUGUGGACACCUCAGCCCUUAACGCUGGACCACUUUUGGUGGUCUCACCAACCAGCCAUCAUCAGGAAGAAAUGUGUCUUGGCUGGAGGCCCACGUUUCGUUCCAGCACAUCCUUUUUACCAAAAGAGCCGCCCCUGGAGCUGCCAACAGCGUUUACGAGAAAGCCAUCCAACAAUACUUUGGAUCUGGGAGCGUGGCCUGACCACAGACAUGGCCUUCCCCGCCCUGAGAACCAUCCAUCAGGGAGCCUGGCACAUGCUGGGAAAACUCCUGUCAGUGGAUGCAGUGUCCUUUCCAGAUUCAAUAUUAUGCAAACUGCAUAUCAGCAAAUGGAGUAAACAAAUAUGUCCAUGGCGCCUCCUGAUGCAUGGAGAGACGGGGCUGGGAGAGAUGGGCCUGUCCCAGAACAGAGAUGCAGCCCUGCCGGUCUGCGUGGGAGCUGCUCAAACUGCCUCUCUGCCGGCUCUGCCGCCAUCUCUCCUUCAAAACAGAGUCUGAGAGACUGAGAUGAUAGGCCACUCGGAUGAUGGAUGCCCAGCAGCAGGGGCAUCGCUGAAGUCACAAACAGACCUAGGGUGGCUGCAGGCCAGAUUGGAGCUCUCAUUGACUGGGGUGAGGGGUUCACUACCCAGCCAGUCCUGUGCUGGCUCUAAGCCUCAACCUCUUCAGGCCCCCCAAAGGGAAGGCAGAGAAGAUAUGAAAAGGCAGAGGUGCAGAAACAGACAUGUGCAUGUCCCUGCAAGAGUGAUACAAGAUGACUGAGAAAUGUCAUCUGAGAGAAGGGAAAGGACCAGCCCUACAUUAAAAAGGUAAAGAAAUAGAAGAAAAAAAUAAAUCAUGAAGUUAGUGUGUAAUUAUAGAUGAUGCAUGCAUUGUGUUUUAUAAUGCCACCUGACCUGCCUCUUGAGAA